UACAGAGGUCUCAAGCGUUGUUCGGAUUCAUUGGGCGUAAAGGGUGCGUAGGUGGCGCGCUAAGUCAGGUGUGAAAUUUCGGAGCUUAACUCCGAAACUGCAUUUGAUACUGGCGUGCUUGAGGACUGGAGAGGAGACUGGAAUUCAUGGUGUAGCAGUAGAAAUGCGUAGAGAUCAUGAGGAAGACCAGUGGCGAAGGCGGGUCUCUGGACAGUUCCUGACACUGAGACACGAAGGCCAGGGGAGCAAACGGG
rnacentral:rRNA from 1 species